rnacentral:rRNA from 1 species
GCGAACCGCGGGCCAGCGGGUGGGGGAAGAGUGGGGGUGGGGGGGUUGCCCGGGUUUAGUGGGCGGAAAGGGCGCGGAGGGGGCGGCGGACGGCCGUGGGGAAAUCGCCCGGCGUAACUGGGCGGGGUCAGCGGAUACGGGGCGGCUGGAGCAAGCGAGGGGGCAAUGGAAUGCCCGGGGUAGUGGUGGAAUGCGUAGAUAUCGGGAGGAACACCAGUGGCGAAGGCGGUUGCCUGGAGCUUUGCUGACGCUGAGGCGCGAAAGCGUGGGGAGCGAUCCGGAUUAGAUACCCCAGUAGUC